rnacentral:rRNA from 1 species
UCCGGUUGAUCCUGCCGGCGGCCACCGCUAUUGGAAUACGAUUAAGACAUGCGAGUCGAGAGACAUCUGGUCUCGGCGAACCGCUCAGUAACACGUGGAUAACAUGCCCUAAGGUGGGGGAUAAUCUCGGGAAACUGAGGAUAAUACCCCAUAGGUCUUCUCUGCUGGAAUGCUUGAAGGCCGAAAACUCCGGUGCCUUAGGAUUGGUCUGCGGCCUAUCAGGUUGUAGUGGGUGUAAUGGACCCACUAGCCCGUGACGGGUAUGGGCCUUGAGAGAGGGAGCCCAGAGAUGGACUCUGAGACAUGAGUCCAGGCCCUACGGGGCGCAGCAGUUGCGAAAACUUCGCAAUGGGGGCAACCCCGACGAGGGAAUUCCAAGUGCCAGCACUUUGUGUUGGCUGUUCUCCUGUCUAAAAAACAGGAGGAGUAAGGGGCGGGUAAGACGGGUGCCAGCCGCCGCGGUAAUACCCGCGCCCCUAGUGGUGGUCGAUAUUAUUGAGCCUAAAACGUCCGUAGCCGGUCUUUUAAAUCUUUGGGCAAAUCGGGCAGCUUAACUGUCCGACUUCCGAGGAGACUGGAAGACUUGGGACCGGGAGAGGUCAGAGGUACUUCUGGGGUAGGGGUAAAAUCCUGUAAUCCUGGAAGGACCACCGGUGGCGAAGGCGUCCGACUAGAACGGAUCCGACGGUGAGGGACGAAGCCCUGGGGCGCAAACGGGAUUAGAUACCCCGGUAGUCCAGGGUGUAAACGCUGCGGGCUUGGUGUUGGGGGGUCCUUUGUGGGCGCCCAGUGCCGGGAGAGAAGUUGUUAAGCCUGCUGCUUGGGGGAGUAUGUCCGCAGGGAUGAAACUUUAAGGGAUUGGCGGGGGGG